GAUGAACGCUGGCGGUAUGCUUAACACAUGCAAGUCGAACGGUCACUUCGGUGAUAGUGGCGGACGGGUGAGUAACGCGUGAGAAUCUGUCUUCAGGUCGGGGACAACAGUUAGAAAUGACUGCUAAUACCGGAUGUGCCUUUGGGUGAAAGAUUUAUUGCCUGAAAAAGAGCUCGCGUCAGAUUAGCUAGUAGGUGGUGUAAGAGACUACCUAGGCUCCGAUCUGUAGCUGGUCUGAGAGGACGAUCAGCCACACUGGAACUGAGACACGGUCCAGACUCCUACGGGAAGCAGCAGUGGGGAAUUUUCCGCAGUGGGCGAAAGCCUGACGGAGCAAUACCGGGUGAGGGACGAAGGCUUUUGGGUCGUAAACCUCUUUUCUCAAGGAAGAUGAUGACGGUACUUGAGGAAUAAGCAGCGGCUAACUCUGUG
rnacentral:rRNA from 1 species